rnacentral:rRNA from 1 species
AUAUUGGGCAAUGGGCGCAAGCCUGACCCAGCAAUGCCGCGUGGGUGAAGAAGGUCCUCGGAUUGUAAAGCCCUUUCGGCGGGGACGAUGAUGACGGUACCCGCAGAAGAAGCCCCGGCCAACUUCGUGCCAGCAGCCGCGGUAAUACGAAGGGGGCUAGCGUUGCUCGGAAUUACUGGGCGUAAAGGGCGCGUAGGCGGCUCCGCUUGUCGGGCGUGAAAUCCCGGGGCUCAACCCCGGGGCUGCGCCCGAGACGGCGGGGCUCGAGUGCGGGAGAGGGUGGUGGAAUUCCCAGUGUAGAGGUGAAAUUCGUAGAUAUUGGGAAGAACACCGGUGGCGAAGGCGGCCACCUGGCCCGCGACUGACGCUGAGGCGCGACAGCAUGGGGAGCAAACAGG